CCAAUAGCGUAUAUUAAAGUUGUUGCAGUUAAAAAGCUCGUAGUUGAACUUCGGGACCAAUGGGUCGGUCAUGCCGUCGGUAUGUACUGAUUUUAUUGGUUCUCACCUUCUAAGGAACCGUAAUGUCAUUAGUUUGAUGUUGCGGGGAAUUAGGACUGUUACCUUGAAAAAAUUAGAGUGUUUAAAGCAGGCUAACGCUUGAAUACAUUAGCAUGGAAUAAUGAAAUAGGACAUCAGAUUUUAUUUUGUUGGUUUCUAGGAUCGAUGUAAUGAUUAAUAGGGAUAGUUGGGGGCAUUAGUAUUCAAUUGUCAGAGGUGAAAUUCUUGGAUUUAUUGAAGACUAACUACUGCGAAAGCAUUUGCCAAGGAUGUUUUCAUUAAUCAAGAACGAAAGUUAGGGGAUCGAAGACGAUCAGAUACCGUCGUAGUCUUAACCAUAAACUAUGCCGACUAGGGAUCGGAUGAUGUUAAUUUUUUAAUGACUCAUUCGGCACCUUACG
rnacentral:misc_RNA from 1 species